UACGUAGGGGGCAAGCGUUUGUCCGGAUUUAUUGGGCGUAAAGAGCUUGUAGGCGGUUUGUCGCGUCUGCCGUGAAAAUUCGAGGCUCAACCUCGAACUUGCGGUGGGUACGGGCAGACUAGAGUGUGGUAGGGGAGACUGGAAGUUCCUGGUGGUAGUGGUGAAAUGCGCAGAUAUCAGGAGGAACACCGGAUGGCGAAGGCAGGUCUCUGGGCCACUACUGACGCUGAGAAGCGAAAGCAUGGGGGAGCGAACAGGG
rnacentral:rRNA from 1 species